AGGUGGGAGGAUUGCUUGAGCUGGGAGGUUGAGGCUGCAGUGAGCCAAGAUCGCACCACUGCACUCCAGCCUGAGUGACAGAGCAAGACCCUGUCUCA
rnacentral:miRNA from 1 species